rnacentral:rRNA from 1 species
GACGAACGCUGGCGGCGCGCUUAACACAUGCAAGUCGAGCGAUGAAAUUUCGACAGAUCCCUUCGGGGUGAAGAUGAAAUGGAUUAGCGGCGGACGGGUGAGUAACACGUGAGUAACCUGCCUUUGACAUUGGGAUAGCCUCGGGAAACUGGGAUUAAUACCAAAUGACACUAACUGAUCACAUGAUCAAUUAGUCAAAGAAAUUCGGUCAAAGAUGAACUCGCGGCUGAUUAGCUAGUUGGUGAGGUAACGGCCCACCAAGGCGACGAUCAGUAGCCGGCCUGAGAGGGUGAUCGGCCACAUUGGAACUGAGACACGGUCCAAACUCCUACGGGAGGCAGCAGUGGGGAAUAUUGCACAAUGGGGGAAACCCUGAUGCAGCGACGCCGCGUGAGCGAAGAAGGCCUUCGGGUCGUAAAGCUCUUUUAUGAGGGAAGAUAAUGACGGUACCUCAAGAAAAAGCCCCGGCUAACUACGUG